rnacentral:rRNA from 1 species
GAUGAACGCUGGCGGCGUGCUUAACACAUGCAAGUCGAGCGAAGCACCUUGACGGAUUUCUUCGGAUUGAAGCCUUGGUGACUGAGCGGCGGACGGGUGAGUAACGCGUGGGUAACCUGCCUCGUACAGGGGGAUAACAGUUGGAAACGGCUGCUAAUACCGCAUAAGCGCACAGUACCGCAUGGUACGGGGUGAAAAACUCCGGUGGUAGGAGAUGGACCCGCGUCGGAUUAGGUAGUUGGUGGGGUAAGGGCCUACCAAGCCGACGAUCAGUAGCCGACCUGAGAGGGUGACCGGCCACAUUGGGACUGAGACACGGCCCAAACUCCUACGGGAGGCAGCAGUGGGGAAUAUUGCACAAUGGGGGAAACCCUGAUGCAGCGACGCCGCGUGAGCGAUGAAGUAUUUCGGUAUGUAAAGCUCUAUCAGCAGGGAAGAAAAUGACGGUACCUGACUAAGAAGCCCCGGCUAACUACGUGCCAGCAGCCGCAGUAA